rnacentral:rRNA from 1 species
AUUGAACGCUGGCGGCAGGCCUAACACAUGCAAGUCGAACGAGUGGCGGACGGGUGAGUAAUGUCUGGGAAACUGCCCGAUGGAGGGGGAUCACUACUGGACACGGUAGCUAAUACCGCAUCCCAUCGGAUAUGCCCAGAUGGGAUGAGCUAGUAGGUGGGGUAACGGAUCACCUAGGCGACGAUCCCUAGCUGGUCUGAGAGGAUGACCAGCAACACUGGAACGGAGACACGGUCCAGACUCCUACGGGAGGCAGCAGUGGGGAAUAUUGCACAAUGGGCGCAAGCCUGAUGCAGCCAUGCCGCGUGUAUGAAGAAGGCCUUCGGGUUGUAAAGUACUUUCAGCGAGGAGGCGUUACUCGCAGAAGAAGCACCGGCUAACUCCGUGCCAGCCGCCGCGGUAAUAC